UGGGGAAUUUUGGACAAUGGGCGAAAGCCUGAUCCAGCAAUGCCGCGUGUGUGAAGAAGGCCUUCGGGUUGUAAAGCACUUUUGUCCGGAAAGAAAUGGCUCUGGUUAAUACCUGGGGUCGAUGACGGUACCGGAAGAAUAAGGACCGGCUAACUACGUGCCAGCAGCCGCGGUAAUACGUAGGGUCCAAGCGUUAAUCGGAAUUACUGGGUGUAAAGCGUGCGCAGGCGGUUGUGCAAGACCGAUGUGAAAUCCCCGGGCUUAACUUGGGAAUUGCAUUGGUGACUGCACAGCUAGAGUGUGUCAGAGGAGGGUAGAAUUCCACGUGUAGCAGUGAAAUGCGUAGAGAUGUGGAGGAAUACCGAUGGCGAAGGCAGCCCCCUGGGAUAACACUGACGCUCAUGCACGAAAGCGUGGGGAGCAAACAGG
rnacentral:rRNA from 1 species